CCAGCUCCUACGGGAGGCAGCAGUGGGGAAUAUUGCACAAUGGGGGGAACCCUGAUGCAGCGACGCCGCGUGGGUGAAGAAGUCAUUCGUGACGUAAAGCCCUAUCAGCAGGGAAGAAAAUGACGGUACCUGACCAAGAAGCCCCGGCUAACUACGUGCCAGCAGCCGCGGUAAUACGUAGGGGGCAAGCGUUGUCCGGAUUUACUGGGUGUAAAGGGAGCGUAGACGGCAGCGCAAGUCUGGAGUGAAAUGCCGGGGCCCAACCCCGGAACUGCUUUGGAAACUGUGCAGCUCGAGUGCAGGAGAGGUAAGCGGAAUUCCUAGUGUAGCGGUGAAAUGCGUAGAUAUUAGGAGGAACACCAGUGGCGAAGGCGGCUUACUGGACUGUAACUGACGUUGAGGCUCGAAAGCGUGGGGAGCAAACAGGAUUAGAUACCCCGGUAC
rnacentral:rRNA from 1 species